rnacentral:rRNA from 1 species
GAGUUUGAUCUUGGCUCAGAGCGAACGCUGGCGGCAGGCCUAACACAUGCAAGUCGAACGGACCCUUCGGGUUAGUGGCGGACGGGUGAGUAACACGUGGGAACGUGCCUUUAGGUUCGGAAUAGCUCCUGGAAACGGGUGGUAAUGCCGAAUGUGCCCUUCGGGGAAAGGAUUUAUCGCCUUUAGAGCGGCCCGCGUCUGAUUAGCUAGUUGGUGAGGUAACGGCUCACCAAGGCGACGAUCAGUAGCUGGUCUGAGAGGAUGACCAGCCACACUGGGACUGAGACACGGCCCAGACUCCUACGGGAGGCAGCAGUGGGGAAUCUUGCGCAAUGGGCGAAAGCCUGACGCAGCCAUGCCGCGUGAAUGAUGAAGGUCUUAGGAUUGUAAAAUUCUUUCACCGGGACGAUAAUGACGGUACCCGGAGAAGAAGCCCCGGCUAACUUCGUGCCAGCAGCCGCCGCCGUAAG